rnacentral:lncRNA from 1 species
GAUGCCAUCCAGGCGCACGGCGGGUAUAGUGGUUCCGCAACCUUGGGAUGUUCGGCUGAGCGCCUGCCUAACAUGGGAGCGCCUGCCUAACCCUCCUGACUGGAGGGUCAGCGGCGGGGAGUCCUGGCCUUCAAUCGGCCAUCGCCACGGCAGAAACUGGGGCCCGGGCUGCGUCCAGGCCCUUCCCCGUCCGUCCACAGGUCUCAUGGGCGCCCGGACUGGGGCUGAUGUAGUUUCCCGACCUCUGACACAUAGGAUCUGGAGAUUAAAGCUGCUCUGCUAAUAAUUAGGUUCCCACCUCUCAAGAUCAUUAGGAGCUUCUUUUCCAAUUCCUCUGUUUUGCAUGCAUUGGAAGGAAAAUGGUGACGCCGAGGGUGACUGAUUUCCAGGUUUACAUCGGUUGCCCCAGGGGAAGUGCCUGGCCCCCAUCUGGUCCUUGCUGCUCUAACUUUGCCCUGUUAAUUGAAGAAAUGCAGGAUCUGGAGCUCAGGACCCACUACCUCCCCGGCCCACUGCAAGCUUGAACAUUUGAUGGUGGACACCCCUCCCUGACUUUGUAUUAUGAUUCACAGGCUGCUCCCCAGAAUACUGAAGAAGAAACUCUAGGAGUGAGACCCAACAAUCUGUGUUUAACAAGUCCCCAGGCCCCUGGAUCCUCCUGGAAUCCCUGAUCCCUGUUGCUCCCUGGCGGAGUUUUCUAGUCCCUCUUACUUGAAGCAUGUCUUUCAGAGCCCGGCACCACCCAAGUUGGGUAUCUGAUACCCCAUCAGCCUGAGUCUCUUAAAGGCCUUUAUACACAUAUGUCUACACAUAGGGAUUUGGAUGAUCUCGGGAUCCCACAUCCUCGCUGUCCCCUGUCCCCCCACAACAUCCCACACCAAUACCUUUCUGAAGUUUUCUAGUCCCUCCUUUUUGUUUGUGGUCCUUAAAGCCCAGCCCCAUGCCUGACUUUGGUUCCCAGUGAGCAUUGUACAUUUGUGGAUAUUAAAUCUUUGGCAAAGUCAUUUA